rnacentral:lncRNA from 1 species
AUAAAACUAAAAAUAAGUUUGUAAAAGGCCAAAAAACUCAUAUUAUGAGCAAAAUAAUUUCCCCACUUCCAUAAGAAAAAUACAUAAAAAGGACACGUGUCAUGAUCUAUUUAGCCAUUUAUAGCCUUUAUUGUCUAUUGAUCAAAGCUUUAUUACUAUUCUAUCCAUUCGAAACAUGGACCAUCUGUUAGCCACAUGAGGUUAAUUCCGUAAUUUAAUACCCAUCACACAAAUACUCGAAUCUUUUUGGCAUUCACGCGCCUGUAUUGAAAUUACCAUUCUACCCAUCAAGACAUUAAACAACAUUCAGCCAUACAAGGUUAAUUAAGUAAAUUAUAACCAUCACCCCAUCACACAAAUACCCAAAUCCCACACGUCUUCGCAUAAGCUCUUCAAAUCGUUCCUCUUUUCCAACUCUCUUUUCUCCCCUCUAUAUAACCUCUACCUCUACAAAAAUCUUCCUCUAUCAUAUAAAAGAACUUCUCUUUCAAAUUCUUACCGCUUCAAUUCCUAUUUUUCUUUCUGUACACCUUCGAAAAUCAACUUUUCGCUCCAAUUUUGAGCUCUGAAUCAGCAGAAUUUAAGCAAACCCUAGGUUUAGAUUUUACACUCAAAGGUCUGAAUCUGAACCAAUUUUUUCAUCAUCGUCUGAUAUUGUUUCAUUAAGCAAGUUGUAAACCUCAAUAUUCCGAGUUUUAUUGCAACGAUUUCUUAUAUGAGCUGAAUCAAAGUCUAUGUCUGAAUUAUGUGCGAAUUUGCGCUACAUUAUAGUCAUUCUUUUUCCGUGUUGAGUUCUAUUGAAAAUCUUACACACUCGCACAUACACUUGAUUUUGCAUAAGCAAACUUGUCCUAAUUCUCCUGAUUUGCUUGAAUGGGAAAUAACAAUUAAUAAAAUAAAAAAAUUGGGGAGGGUGAGACUGAGGGUGCAGAAUUGAUAUUGGAUUUUUCUUCUUUAGGGGAAGAGUUAUUAUUGUUUUAUUAGGUUCUUUUAACUGUCUUGUGUCACUUACACUAUUUCACUGGCACCCUCACUACGGUCCGGCUUUGUGUACCAAGGAACCUCUGGUCUUUUAUCCUUUAGUUCUAGCUGGAGAAAUUAUUAUUUUUAUUAUUGAUGAAGGAGAUGUAUUGAAUUUGUAGAAAAUAUAGAUAACUUUUAGUGUUAGUGAACUAAUCUUUUGAAUGUUGAAUUGAGAUGGAUCUAAGUGGAGGGACUUGGAUAGUGAGUAUUCAUAUAGUCGACCCAAUUAGCUUGGGAUUGACGUGUAGUUGUUGCUGUAUUAGUAUACUUUAUGAAGGAGAUAUUGAUAAUAUCUGCUACUUUAAUCCAUUUUGUAGAGGUUUGUGUAGGGAGUUAAAAGAGGA